rnacentral:rRNA from 1 species
AUAGAUACCAGGUAGUCCACGCCGUAAACGAUGGAUGCUAGCUGUUAUGAGUAUCGACCUUUGUAGUAGCGUAGCUAACGCGUUAAGCAUCCCGCCUGUGGAGUACGGUCGCAAGACUAAAACAUAAAGGAAUUGACGGGGACCCGCACAAGCGGUGGAGCGUGUUGUUUAAUUCGAUGGUAAGCGAAGAACCUUACCCAGGCUUGACAUCCUGCUAAUCACUCCGAAAGGAGAGAGUGCCUUCGGGCCGCAGUGACAGGUGUUGCAUGGCCGUCGUCAGCUCGUGUCGUGAGAUGUUUGGUUAAGUCCAUCAACGAGCGCAACCCUUAUAGUUAGUUGUAUUUCUCUAGCUAGACUGCCCUGGCAACAGGGAGGAAGGAGGGGAUGAUGUCAGGUCAGUAUUACCCUUACGCCUGGGGCUACAAACACGCUACAAUGGCCGGUACAAAGGGCAGCCAACCCGCGAGGGGGAGCAAAUCCCAUCAAAGCCGGUCUCAGUUCGGAUUGCAGGCUGAAACUCG